rnacentral:lncRNA from 1 species
CAGCAAUUACAGUGCCUACAACCUAUAUUGAUUUUCCAACACUCAGUAGUCUGUGGCAACCAAACAAAAGUUGGUUUCUACAGGUAUGCCUCACUCAAAGAUGUUUCAGAUUUCCUAGCUGACAUAAUUUACUGUGCCACAUAGUUUUAUGUUGUCUUAGAGAGGAUCUAACUUUGCUUUCACAAAUAUUGAGGCUUUCAAAUGAACAAAUAUAGGUAGAGUUAUUAAAUUAAGCUGCAUGGCUGGUGUCUUUUUCUUUUUUUUUCUGUUCCUAAUUUGCAAUGUAAAUGUUGCUCAUUUUCUUCAUGUUCUUACUGUAUCGGUCAUAUGUUGUAUCUGCUUUAUUAGAAGCUCAUUUCCUGUGAUCUUCAAUUGGUGUAGGAUUGUAGGAGUGGCAAGCUUAUUUCCUGUUAUGUAAUAUCUAUGAGGCUAUUUUCAUUUGCAGAAACUGUGAUUAUGCAUUGAGUACCAUAUUUUAGUUGGCUAAGAAGAAGAUACAAUUUUAAUCAGCUUUAAUGAGAUGAAUAGAGUAUAUAUGCAGCCAGUACUGUAAUGUUAAGAGUUUGCACUUGGACAAACUUGUGUUUCAAGGGAAAAGCUUGUCCUUUGACAAGUCCAAGAGUUAAGGUUUUCCUCUACACACACACACACACACAAAAUCUUUCCUCGAGGUAGUUUUUUUAAUGUAGAAAUUUGUUAAGUUAGCUGCUUUUUAAAUUUCUGCUAAUUGGUUUUUGUUACGCUUUUGUUGUCAACUAACUAUAUGAGGAAACAUCUUGAUGCUAUAGGGUUUAAGGUCACCUGAGAUUGGUAUGCAAUUAAGAGAUAAACCCUGGAAGAUACAUCAAGACUAGGAACACAAGGUUUUAUACCUAGAUCAUCUUCUUAGUAUUUUAUUCAAGCAAACAAGGCCCAAGAUGCUUAUGUAACUGAUGUCUAAGAAGGAAUGGUUAAACCAAAGACUAAAGCAUAGACAAACCUGAGCCAUGAACAUGGUUCUGGGUGGUAUCUUCAUAUAGUGCCCCAAUUUGAAGUCUUGCAAGAAUGUCAAUGCCUGUGUCAUACUGAUGUACCCAUAUACUUUAAAGCACAUGUUUGCGACUGGGCGUCCAGGGUACAAGUACCCCAUAAUAUACUCUGUAAUAAUGUUUAAGCCUGGUGUCUAGUUCAUCAAACACAGGAAACUAUCAGUCAGGCUAGUUAACCCAGAAUUUGGGACAUAAUAAAGGAAAUCAGCAAGCAAAUACCUGGUUUGUGGUGGCUGUGAUGAUCCCAAUGGGGAGUGUGAAGAAAAUGGCGAUGAAGCAGGCUAAUAAUACACCCCACCAUGGAAGCUGGAGCUGAUCGAUGUAGUACUCGCAUGCAAAGAUGGUAAGAGCAAUGUUGGCAAUAAGGACAGCAAUAAACCACCACUGGGGCACCUGGUCAUAUCUGCUCAUGAGUUUGGUAUGGAUAUCCAUCUUCUUCUCUUUGAAUGCUGACUUGCUCAUUUGCCAUAUUUCACUGUGUGCAUGGAGCAAAGUAGAUUAUAUGUUUGUACAAUGUCCUCACUUUCUCAUAAGUCGUAAACUAUUCCUUUGUUUUCUAUACAUCUUCAUACUCUAUCAUUCUUGUUAGGUUUGGUCACAACAUUUGGCUUUAAAUAUUUCAUUUGCAGAAAAUUGAUAUUAGAAAAGUUCUGCUUACUGGCUUGUGGGCAAUUUUGGUGGUGCCACAGAGAGGACUCGUACCUUCCGUGAAAGAGAAGAACAUGAGAAAUGGUAGCCGUGAGAGACGCAAAGCCGAUACCAUAAGUCACUGCAAAGAAUGUGCUCAAGUAGAGUGGACCAUUCUUUUCAUAGGCCAUAAUGUCAAGGUGGAAGUUGG